UACGUAGGGUGCGAGCGUUGUCCGGAAUUAUUGGGCGUAAAGGGCUCGUAGGCGGUUUGUCGCGUCGGGUGUGAAAAGCCCGGGGCUUAACCCCGGGUCUGCAUUCGAUACGGGCUAGCUAGAGUGUGGUAGGGGAGAUUGGAAUUCCCGGUGUAGCGGUGAAAUGCGCAGAUAUCGGGAGGAACACCAGUAGCGAAGGCGGCACUCUGGGCCGGUACUGACGCUGAGGAGCGAAAGCGUGGGGAGCAAACAGG
rnacentral:rRNA from 1 species